UGGGGAAUUUUGGACAAUGGGCGCAAGCCUGAUCCAGCCAUGCCGCGUGCGGGAAGAAGGCCUUCGGGUUGUAAACCGCUUUUGUCAGGGAAGAAACGCUCUGGGCUAAUACCCUGGGGUAAUGACGGUACCUGAAGAAUAAGCACCGGCUAACUACGUGCCAGCAGCCGCGGUAAUACGUAGGGUGCAAGCGUUAAUCGGAAUUACUGGGCGUAAAGCGUGCGCAGGCGGUUAUGCAAGACAGAUGUGAAAUCCCCGGGCUCAACCUGGGAACGGCAUUUGAAACGGGCGGGCUGGAGUUGGGUAGAGGGGAGCGGAAUUCCGGGUGUAGCGGUGAAAUGCGUAGAUAUCCGGAGGAACACCAGUGGCGAAGGCGGCUCCCUGGACCCAAACUGACGCUGAGGCACGAAAGCGUGGGUAGCAAACAGGAUUAGAUACCCUGUAGUCCCUGAGCGGGCUGGCAAGGCGCAU
rnacentral:rRNA from 1 species